rnacentral:rRNA from 1 species
CCUACGGGCGACAGCAGUGGGGAAUAUUGCACAAUGGGGGAAACCCUGAUGCCGCGACGCCGCGUGAAGGAAGAAGUAUUUCUGUAUGUAAACUUCUAUCAGCAGGGAAGAAAAUGACGGUACCUGACUAAGACGCCCCGGCUACCUACGUGCCAGCCGCCGCGGUCAUACGUAGGGGGCAAGCGUUAUCCGGAUUUACUGGGUGGAAAGGGAGCGUAGGCGGUGAUGCAAGUCAGAAGUGAAAGCCCGCAGCUCAACUGAGGGACUGCGUUUGAAAUUGUAUGACUAGAUUGCAGGAGAGGUAAGUGGAAUUCCUAGUGUAGCGGUGAAAUGCGUAGAUAUUAGGAGGAACACCAGUGGCGAAGGCGGCUUACUGGACUGUAAAUGACGCUGAGGCUCGAAAGCGUGGGGAGCAAACAGGAUUAGAUACCCUUGUAGUC